AGAUGAGUAGGUUAAGUUUUAAACCAUUAAGCUUAUUACUUAAAAAUGUAUAAACCUUAUCAA
rnacentral:tRNA from 1 species